rnacentral:lncRNA from 1 species
AAUACUGACCCCUCUAUUGUAACGACUUAUGAUGCUGUUCAAAAUGUGCAUUCUGUGUGGACUCUCCGGAGAGUCAAAUCAGAGGAAGAGAAUGUUGUUUUAAAGUUCUCUGAACAGGGGGGAACCCCACAGAAUGUGGCCACUAGCAGCUCCCUCACAGCACAUCUCAGAAGCCUCUCCAAAGGAGAUUCCCCUGUGAUUUCACCUUUCCGGAAUUACUCCUCCAUUCACAGCCAGAGUCGCUCAACCUCAUCACCCAGUCUACAUUCUCGCUCACCUUCUAUUUCCAACAUGGCAGCUCUAAGUCGUGCUCAUUCUCCUGCGUUAGGAGUGCACUCUUUUUCAGGGGUGCAAAGGUUCAACAUUUCAAGCCAUAAUCAGUCUCCAAAGAGACAUAGUAUUUCUCAUUCUCCAAAUAGUAAUUCUAAUGACUCCUUUCUUGCACCAGAAACGGAGCCAAUUGUUCCUGAACUGUGUAUUGACCAUUUGUGGACAGAAAUGAUUACUAAUAUAAGAGAGAAAAAUUCACAAGCCUCAAAAGUGUUUAUUACAUCUGACCUAUGUGGGCAAAAUUCCUGUGCUUUUUAGUAGAGUCCCAGCUCCACUUACGCUGUGUAAAGUUUCAAGAGAGUAAUGAUAAAACCCAGCUCAUCUUUGAUUCAGUGACCAACAUACCAGCAAAGGAUGCAGCACCAGUGGAGAAAAUAGACACCAUGCUGGUCUUGGAAGGCAGUGGAAACCUGGUGCUAUACACAGGAGUGGUUCGG